rnacentral:rRNA from 1 species
AUUGAACGCUGGCGGCAGGCCUAACACAUGCAAGUCGAGCGGAUGAAGGGAGCUUGCUCCUGGAUUCAGCGGCGGACGGUUGAGUAAUGCCUAGGAAUCUGCCUGGUAGUGGGGGAUAACGUCCGGAAACGGGCGCUAAUACCGCAUACGUCCUGAGGGAGAAAGUGGGGGAUCUUCGGACCUCCCGCUAUCAGAUGAGCCUAGGUCGGAUUAGCUAGUUGGUGGGGUAAAGGCCUACCAAGGCGACGAUCCGUAACUGGUCUGAGAGGAUGAUCAGUCACACUGGAACUGAGACACGGUCCAGACUCCUACGGGAGGCAGCAGUGGGGAAUAUUGGACAAUGGGCGAAAGCCUGAUCCAGCCAUGCCGCGUGUGUGAAGAAGGUCUUCGGAUUGUAAAGCACUUUAAGUUGGGAGGAAGGGCAGUAAGUUAAUACCUUGCUGUUUUGACGUUACCAACAGAAUAAGCACCGGCUAACUUCGUG